rnacentral:rRNA from 1 species
GAUGAACGCUGGCGGCGUGCCUAAUACAUGCAAGUCGAGCGAACAGACGAGGAGCUUGCUCCUCUGACGUUAGCGGCGGACGGGUGAGUAACACGUGGAUAACCUACCUAUAAGACUGGGAUAACUUCGGGAAACCGGAGCUAAUACCGGAUAAUAUAUUGAACCGCAUGGUUCAAUAGUGAAAGACGGUUUUGCUGUCACUUAUAGAUGGAUCCGCGCCGCAUUAGCUAGUUGGUAAGGUAACGGCUUACCAAGGCAACGAUGCGUAGCCGACCUGAGAGGGUGAUCGGCCACACUGGAACUGAGACACGGUCCAGACUCCUACGGGAGGCAGCAGUAGGGAAUCUUGCGCAAUGGGCGCAAGCCUGAUGCAGCCAUGCCGCGUGAGUGAUGAAGGCCUUCGGGUUGUAAAACCCUGUUAUUGGGAAAGAAAAACUGUGUGAUAAACCACGGCUGUCUUGACGGUACCUAAUCAGUAAGCAACGGCUAACUACGUG